GGCAGUUUACAUCACAUCAUGAAGUAUAACUUGGCAUCUAGAAGUCAGAGGGAACAACGUUCAAAUCCUAAGUCCUCUACUUAUGAGCUGUGUGACACUGGAUGACUUCACUAACAUCUCUCUACUUCAGUUUUACCGUAGAAAAAAUGGGAGCUAUAACAGUACCUACCUGAAAAGGCUGUGGAGAAGAUGAAAUGACAAAGUGAGUGUAAAGUGGCUGGGGUAGCACCUGGCAGAGUAAGAAAGCUGCUACAAAUAGUUGUGGAAUUACUACCUACAUUGACUUUUUUCAGAACUUCCAGGAACUAAUCUUGAAACAGACCAAGCACAGAGAGCCAGCUACAGAAGUCCAGAGAUUACCUCAAGGCAGUUAGUCAACAACCCAGCCAUUGUUCAGAUGACAGCAUCCUACACUCCAGGUGGACCAUGGCUCGAGAUAACCACCAGAACAAGACACUCCCACCUUGUACUCAGCAGCCUGCCUGCCUGCCUCCCAUUGCAAGUUCCCCUUUUUAAGCUCUCCUCCCCAGCCUAAAGUGUGAAGUGGUUGCUUUGGAAGAGAAUCUGGCCGUUUCUCGAUUACUAGUGUUGGUUAAUAAAGUCACUUUCUUUCUACUACACCUCACUGUUGUCACUGGACUCUGUAGCAGCUAUGUACCAGGACUGAGGGAAAAAAUAGGAAGAGGAAAAUUUACCAUAAACUAGAAGCUUGGUGCCCUGAAACCUGGUACUUAGACCACAGAUGAGCCUGCUCAAUUACUGCCGCUGCCUCUGAGGAGCCCUGAUGACACUGAUGCUGAGAUACUGAUGGAAGCUGGUGGCUGGGUCCAUGGCUGCUGCUAAAGUGAUACUGAUGGUGCCUGGAAAACAGCUACCAUUGAGAGAGGUUUUGAAGACUUUAGAAGGAUCAGAGUGACCAUAUGCAAUUUCCUGAUUAAAAACAAAAAAUGUACGGAUAUGUGAACCCUUUCCAGUCUUCUCUUACGGUUUUAGACAACACAGUUCAUCCGAGUCUUUCCCCAAAGGAAUGUAAG
rnacentral:lncRNA from 10 species